UUAAAAUAAACAACAAAUGCUCGCUGCUUCACUUGCCUGUAUAAGGUAAAGAGUGUGGAGGGAAUUAAUCGUCCAAACGCAUUACAGGUUUAACAGUAUUUCUUAGUGUAUGUGGCAGCUUGUUGUACUUCAUCUGGAGGCUACUGACGUAUUCCUGUAAGAAAAGAAUAAAGGACAAACAAGACCAAGCAGAAAAUGGUCUGGAGCCAGAGCCUCCACUUCACUGUGGAAGAUGUUGUGUUCCUCUACUUCAUUCUCCACACUUGAUCACCUAUCAGCGGCUGCCGAUGACUAAACAAUCCAAGGAAGACAGGUGGACCUCAGCUGUGUGUGCGUCUUCUGGUAGUCCCGAUGCCCCCGGUGUGUGGGUAAGCCUCCGUCUCUUGACACAGAUAUGUGCACUCAGCCUUUCCGAUGUCAGAGCUUGUCCUUGUCAACCAGUAGGACUGGACUUGUGGUCUGAAAACAUUCACUUUUAGUUUUCACAUCGAAGCUGUGUAUCUGUCAGCGAGCAGAGGACAGGAGGGCACAGAGCGAGGCCCCGCCCUGCAGCAUGUUUCCGAGGAGUUUUCAAGCAAACAUUCACACACAUAAUAUUUGUGCAACUAUACAGUGUUAAACUAACUAGUUGCUAAGGAGCAAGAAUGAAUAUCAACUUUGAAUGCUAUGAAUGUGCUCUGAAUAUAAUGCACAUACUGUAAGUGUAGCACUGUAUUAAAACAAAUGCACAGCUAUAAAACAGGGUGUGACAGCAUGUUCGCCUAG